UCUUUCUUAAUUGGCUAUUGUUUUGUCAAGCAUUGUCCUCUAUUAGUCACAGAAAAAAGGCAGAGUCCAAGUUUUUGUCACUUUCUUGGAAGUUAGAAUUAUUUCAACACACAUGGUGAUUUAAAUAGGUUUUGUACGUUGGUUUGUUAUUUGAAUCUUGCAGCCUCUGAGUUGACACGGUUCGUAGGGCCUCAUGGACGUCAAGGGAUGGAGUUUUGCACACCUUCGAAGUUGCAGGGACCUCCUCAGAAAUUGAUGAUAAAGCUGUGGAAAGUUUUGUUGAUGAGGACGACUUCAUCAUCUCUUUAGACUACAAUGCCCAAAAUGGUGUUUGCAGUAUAGUGUUGGAAACAUCAAGCUGACGAAUGGUUUUGGGCUCUUUUGCCCCGUUUUGUACUUCGCAAGAUGAAGGACGUUGUUUACAAGUUAAAUUUGUGCAUAUUUUAUUGAAGCUCACUUCAAGUGGUCUGUUAGGAGAAUUAUCUGACAUUCAGUUGAAGCUGAGGAAAACUGAAAAUAAUUUUUUUUUGUACAAGUGCCUAUCUUGGCUAUUUUGUCUUACCUUAAAAAGUAACAGUCACAUUAUAACACUGCUCACGAGUGAGUCGUGUUAAAUUUAAUACACUCCCUUACAAAGGAGCAUUGCUAUUAGUUUAUUACAGAGAGGUUCCCAUGUGACGAGAUUUGUAAGUUUUAUUUGUAACUAAAGAUGGAGGUUCUCCACUGAAAAGAUUGUAUAAUUAUUUGAGCUAAGAUUGAUGUGUCACUGGAUAUUUGUUUUGUAAUUUAUUUCAUGUAAAUUUUCAACAAAAAUGGUGUUAAUUUAACACAUCAAAAGUAUUGGAGGCAUUAUAUUCUGUUACAGCCUAAUUUAUAGAAAAAUGUUAUCUAUGGAUAAUACAUUUAGAAAGUUUAUUGUGUGUUGGAGAAAUUUGUAUCAUUUUAAGGAAUGCCAAAUUGAGAGAUUUCUUUAAGUACGGUUCUCUGUGAAGCACAUUGUGUUCAUUUUCCUUUUUUAUUAUUUUUUUUUAAAUAAAAAAUAUCCCUGGCAAGCUAUAAAAUGAUAGAAGUCUUCACUUUUAACAUGUUACAAAUAGCAUGGAAAUUUUGAGAAUGUCUUUCCUGUGUGAAUUACUGAGUUAAUCCCCAAGGUUUAUGGUCUCUUGUUUUCUAGUCCUUUUGGAUCGAUAGUAUUUUUUGGAAGUUUAGCCUUAACUUUAGCCCUAUAUCUUCUUCUGAGACUGCAAAGUUUCAGCAUGGUCAAAACUCUUGAUUGUGUCAAAUGAGUGACAUAAGAAGAGCAGAUAAUUGCUCAAGCAUUUUUCCUAACUUGAAUUUCAGCAAGUAUUUUUAGCAUAUAUUUUUUUUUUAUCAGAGACUACAGGUGAACUUAGGUACACCUUGUUAUUAAAUGCUGACCAUGUGCCUGAUAUGUACUUUGCACUGCCAACAGUUGAGGGUUAAGAGUAAAGUUAAGACUGAAACAGCUGUAGGUGGUCAAAGCAAAUGGCUGACCAUACAAAGAGUCUCUGAAGUUAGCGUGCUGAAACUUUGCAGGUGUAAAAAAUUUUGGCAUGCUCUAGAACCUUCUCUCUGUACAUGUAUGAUGUUUUUUGGUUACUCUGUGUGUUUACAGGUAAUAUUUUGCAUUGCAUUGCAUUGUGAAGGGGAUGGAUAUUAAGAACGUUUGUUUUUGUCUUAGUUUUGUGCAAAUUUAUUUUGAAAACCACUGCUUUCCUUUUUAUAGGUACCCUAACUUAUCAGGAUCUCAAGGGGGGAUGGGUGGGGGUAUCUGGUGUUAUUGAUGCUUGCCAUUGAUUUUGGAAUUGGUGAGGAUCUUCUAGCACUUAGAAGUAGGUUUUGAAUGUGAUGGCUUGGUGUUAUCAACUUUUAAACCACCCUGAGACCCUCAUAGUUGGUUUACUUUGGAGACAGUUUCCAGUGGAAGCAUUCUAGUGCAAACAGUCUUAAGUUGUAAGAACGUUUGUGUAUAAACUUGCAAAGAUCUUAGAAGAAUCUUCCUUCCUAGCCAGAUUGUUACUUUUAGAUGGCUUUGUGUUUUGAAGAGGAAGAUAUUCUGGAUGUAACUUGACGAAUAUCAUGUUACUAUCACUGACCAAAUAAACUUUGAAACUGAUA